UUUCCGUAGGUGAACCUGCGGAGGGAUCAUUACCGAGUGAUGGUCUCCCAGGCCCGUCCUCCCACCCUGUGUUUUUGUGACCUAGUGGCCUUGGCGGGCCCGCCUCGAUGAGAGGCCGCCGGAAGCUCACCGCUUUCCGCCCGAUCCCGUCGGUAGCCCCCUUAAAUUCUUUAUAAACUUCUCGUCUGGGUCAAUGGAUUUAAGGAAAAAAAACUUUCAACACCGGAUGCCAUGGCUCUCGCAUCGAUGAAAAACGCAGCAGGGCGGAUGAGCACGCGU
rnacentral:misc_RNA from 1 species